CCUACGGGGUGCAGCAGUGAGGAAUAUUGGUCAAUGGACGAGAGUCUGAACCAGCCAAGUAGCGUGAAGGAUGACUGCCCUAUGGGUUGUAAACUUCUUUUAUAUGGGAAUAAAAUGUUCCACGUGUGGGAUUUUGUAUGUACCAUAUGAAUAAGGAUCGGCUAACUCCGUGCCAUCAGCAGCGGUAAUACGGAGGAUCCGAGCGUUAUCCGGAUUUAUUGGGUUUAAAGGGAGCGUAGGUGGAUUGUUAAGUCAGUUGUGAAAGUUUGCGGAUCAACCGUAAAAUUGCAGUUGAAACUGGCAGUCUUGAGUACAGUAGAGGUGGGCGGAAUUCGUGGUGUAGCGGUGAAAUGCUUAGAUAUCACGAAGAACUCCGAUUGCGAAGGCAGCUCACUGGACUGCAACGGACACUGAGGCUCGAAAGUGUGGGUAUCAAACAGGAUUAGAUACCCCUGUAGUC
rnacentral:rRNA from 1 species